AUAUUACAUGCAAUCAUUAAAACAAGGAGUGUACAUAGAACAAUAUAAGACCCCUGAAAAGUAUAAACAUGCAUAUGGACUCAGUACUUGGUUUAGGCCCCUUUUGCAGCAAUUGAUGCCUCAAUGCGCCGUGGCAUAGAAGCUAUCAGCCUUUGGCACUGCUGAGGUGUUAUGGAAGACCAGGAUGCCUGUAAAUAUAGUAGAUUUUCUGUACUUUGGUGUUUUUUCACUGCACAUUGAGGUGGAAUGAUGGGCAAGAUAAAGAACUAAAUAAGCAAGUUAGUGGUGUUGUGGAGACAGGCUCAGGCACCGAGGGUAGUGGUGUUGUGGAGACCGGCUUUGAGACUAUGGUGAGGCCUAAUAGAAAGCAGUUGUUGUUGGGGGAUUCUAUCAUAAGAGAUGUGGAGCUGGACAAUAGAGGUCUUGUGAGAUGUCUUCCCAGAGCUACUGCUCACAGAGACAGGAG